GAGGGUAUAGCUCAAGUGGUAGAGCACAUGCCUGAGGCCCUGGGUUCAAUCCCCAGCACCUCCA
rnacentral:tRNA from 1 species